CAACUACUCCCUCCGUUCCAAAUUACUCGUCGCAGAAAUGAAUGUAUCUAAAACUAAAAUACAUCUAGAUACAUCCAUACCUACGACAAGUAAUUCAGAACGGAGGGAGUACAUG
rnacentral:pre_miRNA from 1 species